rnacentral:rRNA from 1 species
UACGAAGGGGGCUAGCGUUGUUCGGAAUUACUGGGCGUAAAGCGCGCGUAGGCGGCUUUGUAAGUUAGAGGUGAAAGCCCGGAGCUCAACUCCGGAACUGCCCUUAAAACUGCAUCGCUUGAAUCCAGGAGAGGUGAGUGGAAUUCCGAGUGUAGAGGUGAAAUUCGUAGAUAUUCGGAAGAACACCAGUGGCGAAGGCGGCUCACUGGACUGGUAUUGACGCUGAGGUGCGAAAGCGUGGGGAGCAAACAGG